rnacentral:misc_RNA from 1 species
AAAAAUAAUGCUCAGUUAGGAAGAGUAGAAAUGUAUAUGAUAAUCUUAACUUUAAAAAGAAUAAUGGAAAGAUUUGUAAAUAAAAAGAAAAGUUUAGUGUGAGAGAAAAUAUGAUAGAAAAAUGCACAUAGAGAUUAUAAAAAGAAGAAAAAAAUAUAUUAUCAGCAUGUGUGUUUUUAUUGGUUGAAUUAUUGAGAUAAAAACUGUUAUUGUUAAUAAUAAAUAAUGG